rnacentral:lncRNA from 1 species
CGGCUUGAUUAUUUACAAAAACACAUGAGAACACAUUCAGGUAAACAACUUUAUGACUGAUGUAUUUUGUAGAGGGUGAAUUAAAGAAACGCAUAAGAACACACAACCAUAAUGGUGAGAAAACCAUUUAGACUUAUACAUGUUGUAAAAGAUUAUUCAUCGUUAGUUACUUAUUAACAACGUCCAAUGAAAACACAUUCAUGUGAUAAAACUCAUAAGUAAACUGAUGUAUGUGGUAAACGAUUAAGUCGGCUUCGGAAUUUCAAGAAUCACAUGAGAACACAUUCGGGAGAUAAUCCUUGUGAAUGUGAUAUAUGUUGAAAGUGGAUUAGUCAGCAUUGUCAUUCAAAAAUACAUAUAUGAGAAUACAUACAGGCGAUGAACCUCAUAACUGUAAUGUAUGUGGUAAAGGGUUUAGUCGACUUGGGAAUUUACAAAGACACAUGAAAAUACAUACAGGCGAUGAACCUCACAAAGUGAUGUAUGUGGUAAAGGGUUUAGUAGGCUUGGAAAUUUACAAAGACACAUGCGAACAUAUACAGGGG